rnacentral:lncRNA from 1 species
UUAUAUUCUGUUUUAUUCUAUUCUAUUUUUUUUUUUUGACAUUUUCUACUAUGAAAUUAAAUUAUAAACAAAAUAUAUGUUAAUAAUAUAAAGUAAUGCUAUUUUUAUUUAUUUUUGUGUUUUCUACUUUUAAAUUAUAAAAAAAAUACAUUUUAACAGUAUACAGUUAUUCUAUUUAAACUUUUUUUGCAGUUCCUAGUGUUAAUUUAUAAAAAAAAAAAUAAAGCAUACACGAAUUGUGCUUAUUCUUUCUUAUUUUUAUAUUUUUUUUUUUUUAACUAUUUUAUUUGCAUGACAAUAUGGAAUUAUGUGAUGACACUUUUAUUUUACGGUGGAAUAAUUUCACAGUAAAAAGUCAAAGAUAUAAAGAUUAUGGUACAAAUGUUAUGGAAACAAUAAAAGGGAAAUAUAAAACUAGUGAAGAAUUUUCAAUUUUUAAAAUUAAAACUGCUUUUUUGUUUGUUUUAUUUUAUUUAUUAUCACAAACUGGACAUAACCAUAGGAAUGAUUUUAAAGGAAUUAUAAAAAAAAAAAAAAAGUAUAUAACAUAUGCAAGACAAUUAACAGAAUACCAUAUAGAUGAAAGAAGAAAUAACAUAAAUGGCUUAUAUGGCGGUUUGAAUGGCAUAUUGGGAGAAUCUAGUAUGGCGAUUAAAGACAGGAAACAUAAAAAAGUAUUUAAUACUUAUAGUUCUACCACAAAUGCUAAUACGGAUAGACGUAUACCUGGCACUAUUAGAAUUUCUAAAAGCACAACUGAUAAGAAUGAAUGUGCAUUCGGUGGUUCUAAAAAGACAGAACAAUAUGUAAAAGAAUCCUAUCAUCAGAAAUUUGAACAAAAUGAAAGAAAUACUGGGUAUAUAGAGGAAAAGAAAAUGGAUAAUUAUGAAAAUAUUUUUAAAAAAUUUGAACAAAUCAUAAAAAAAAAAAAUAAAAACAAAACAAAUGUUAAAGUAAGUACUACAAACACUACACAUACUACAAACACUACGCAUACUACAAACAGUACACAUACUACAAACACUACAAAUACUACAAACACUACACAUACUACAAACACUACAAAUACUACAAACACUACACAUACUACAAACACUACAAGUGUUACAAACACUUCAUCAUUAGAUGAAUGUGACAAAUCAUAUGAAACGUUUUUUAAUGCUUAUACGACAACGAAAGGAAAAGAGUGUGAUGGUAUGACAUCUAAUUAUAAGACAUCACCAACUUUUUUUCCAAACCAGAAGGAACAAUGUGUUCCUAAAAAUCAUGAAUUUUAUUUAAAUAAUAUGGAUAUGUUAUUCAUAAAUAAUACAUAUGAAUUAAAAGAAAUGUUAAAAAAACCUACGAAAGAUCUUGAUAUUUUACAAAUGAUUAUGUUAUAUAACAUGGAGAUUAGUAUUAUGAGAUAUAAUUUCCUUAAUAUGCAAAACACAUUGUUUAAAUUUUGGGAUACAUUAUCAAAUAAAUAUCAUAUAAACAGUUAUUAUAAAAAUAGACAUUGGAGAAAAGUUUAUACCCAAAUAAUAAAAGAAGUAUUUUAUAAGGAAAAAAAGUAUUUAUGUCAAUUAUAUUGUACCUUUCAAACUGGGGAUUGUUCACAUAGUAAUUUGAAACAAAUUCUUAAUACAUUAGACUCAAAAUAUAAUAUAUUUUUAUAUAAGAUGCUUAAUGCUUAUAAAAUUCAUUUUCAUAGAUUAACAAAGCUGUACAUUGACGAUUUAUAAAUAGAUAUUUAAAGCAGUUUUUAAAAAAUGAGCGUUAUGAAAAAGUGCCGUAUUUUUUGUGAAUACGUAUAUAUAUUGUCCUUAAUUAUUUUAUUUUAAGUGCGUGUUUCCUAAUGGAAGGAAAUAAAAAAAAAAAAAAAAAAAAAAAAAAA